rnacentral:lncRNA from 1 species
CACACAACACACACACACACACACACACACACACCAACACACAUAACACAUAAAAACACAGGUAGCACGCUGGCACUCCUCAAAUGGCAUCCCUUUUCUCAUUCAUGAAUACUGAAAGAAUUAUCAAAACACACUGAUAAGAAGACGGAAAAUGUUGUGGUUCUGUGUCAGCUGUGACGACAGAGGUUGAAUUUCCCGCCGAGAGGAGACGGGACUCAAACUGGACUGAACCGCCCCGACCUGACGCGCGCAAGAAGAAAAAAAAUUGCAUUGAGAGCUUCAUCACUAGUGUGUAUCGCUGUCACCAGAUGUCAGUGAGACGGGAGAUGGUCUUGGAAUGAAAACGAAAGGGGUCUUGGCUUGUGGCUUUGAUGUGGAAGAUAGAUGUGUGACCCCCAAGAGACCCCUGUUUCCCUGAAAUCGAGGACGUGUUGGUGGAGAGCUUAGAACCUGUGUGCCUUUGUCUGUCUGUUCUCUCUCUCUCUCUCUCUCUCUCUCUCUCUCUCUCUCUCUCUCUCUCUCUCUCUCUCUCUCUCUCUCUCUCUCUCUCUCUCUCUCUCUUCUCUCUCUCCACUGGACGAAAAGUGUCCUUUUAUGUGGCGGCUCCCCUUGAGGCAGGUGCUUGCUUCCACCCGCUGGGGUGUCAGAAGUGAAAGCAGUGCAGACACAUGCGUCUGCUCAAGGAGGGACAUACUACAGGAACGCAGCUGCUAGGGACAGAGGUGGGAACUUACCAUUCGGCCUUGCUACCUCUCCACGUGAGCAGUCCAGAGCAUUGCAGUCCUGUUGCAUCCCAGUCCUGCUGUCUUGCUGAUGUUCUAUUGCAACUGUACUGUUGUCUCGUUAGAACCUCCCGGUCUGCGCCUGUUUUUUCUUCUAUUUCUUCACCUACUAGCCUGUUCCUGUACCUCGUGACCUUCUACUGAACCCAACUUGGAUUCUGCUGAAGACGUUCUUGUAGUUCUUGCAUCGCAUCUGCAUCGGUCGUUCCCACUGAAGCUGUGUCUGCAACCUCGUCACCUUCGUCAUUCCUGCGAAACCUUAUCUGUCAUUCCUGCACCCUCCCCGCCGUCCUGCACCCUCCUUCCCCAUCCCAGAGCCUUCGUAAUGAAAAUGAAUCGCUGUCCCUGCAGAUAACAGACAAAAACGGUCUUUAUGUCUUCUGUCGUUCCUAUCCAGAAAAGGCGAACUCUGCCGUCCCCGCCUUUGCCCGGAGGAGCGGGCUAUGGCGCCAAGACGCUCACUUUUCGUCCUCAGCGCCAACCCUCCCCGGACGCCAGCCGAAAGAAAUCGCCCAGCGUCGCCUCCACUUGGCAGACCUCGUCUCUAAGCGUCCUUCAUUAUCAUCAUUUAUCAUUUGCUAUUUAUUAUUCGUAAUUCUUUUUUAUUCAUAUCAUCGCUGAAGAGGCAGCAACUUCGAAUCACACCCUGUUCCCUAGCUGAGAACUAUUUUUUCGCACCCUGUUCUAUAGUCUAUAGCGGAGGACUAUUUUUUUCGGAUCGGAGGGCAGUUCUAACGAAUAUUUCCUCUCCUGUCAUGAUCUAAGUCUACUUCUGGGUAGGUUCUCUAGACUCCCCCUCCCCCACCCCACCCCUCUUUGCACAAGUCACACGCCCAGAAGCAGCAGUUGGGCAGUUCCUUGAUCACUCUGCGCGGGUACAACCUGUUCCCCCAUCACACUCUCGUCAGGGGCUCUGUCCUGCACACCAAUACGCAUGCAGGAACUUGUCGACGCCACAUUCCGCUUGUGAAGGGAAGAUGUAAGUGACAGUCAGUUGA